AGAGGGAGGGGUCUCUCCCUCCCCUCCUUCAUUCCCUCUUUCCCUCUUUCCCUCCCUCCUUCCUUUAAUUCCUUCCCGACGCAGGUGGAGGAGUGGAGGGCUGCGUAAAUAGAGAGAGAGAGAGGAGAGGAGGCAGGGAUGCAGUAAGAGGAAGAGGAAGAGGAAGAGGGGGGCAAGCAUAUCCACCUGCUGCUGAGGAAGAAGAGGAAGAGGAGAAGGAGGGGUGCCCCCUCCCCGUUUUUCUCCCCCCCCCCUCUGUGGAUGAGGAAGGAAGGGCUGCCUCACCUGCAUCUGCAUCCCUUGCAACAUCUCCAUCCCUUGCAGCCUGCAUUUUGGAUCUCUUGCAUUUCUAACCCGGUCCCGAGGAGCGAUGGAGGGCAACGGGAGAGAAGGAGGCUUCUUCUGAAUCAGCUCCUGGGCCUUCCUUUUUGAGGCAUGGUUGCACGCCCACUUCAGCCUCCGGCGCCGCUUUCGGGGAAGCCUUCCGCCCUUGGCGCCGUCUCUCUUCUGGAAGCGGAGGAAGCCCAUCCUGGAAGGAAAAGGGGCCGCGCGGGAUCACCCCCGAAGGAGGUGGGAAAUGGCGCCGAAAUAAUGCCGGAAUCACUUC